CGCUGGCGGCAGGCCUAACACAUGCAAGUCGAGCGGUAGAGAGAAGCUUGCUUCUCUUGAGAGCGGCGGACGGGUGAGUAAUGCCUAGGAAUCUGCCUGGUAGUGNNNGAUAACGUUCGGAAACGGACGCUAAUACCGCAUACGUCCUACGGGAGAAAGCAGGGGACCUUCGGGCCUUGCGCUAUCAGAUGAGCCUAGGUCGGAUUAGCUAGUUGGUGAGGUAAUGGCUCACCAAGGCGACGAUCCGUAACUGGUCUGAGAGGAUGAUCAGUCACACUGGAACUGAGACACGGUCCAGACUCCUACGGGAGGCAGCAGUGGGGAAUAUUGGACAAUGGGCGAAAGCCUGAUCCAGCCAUGCCGCGUGUGUGAAGAAGGUCUUCGGAUUGUAAAGCACUUUAAGUUGGGAGGAAGGGCAGUUACCUAAUACGUGAUUGUUUUGACGUUACCGACAGAAUAAGCACCGGCUAACUCUGUGCCAGCAGCCGCGGUAAUACAGAGGGUGCAAGCGUUAAUCGGAAUUACUGGGCGUAAAGCGCGCGUAGGUGGUUUGUUAAGUUGGAUGUGAAAUCCCCGGGCUCAACCUGGGAACUGCAUUCAAAACUGACUGACUAGAGUAUGGUAGAGGGUGGUGGAAUUUCCUGUGUAGCGGUGAAAUGCGUAGAUAUAGGAAGGAACACCAGUGGCGAAGGCGACCACCUGGACUGAUACUGACACUGAGGUGCGAAAGCGUGGGGAGCAAACAGGAUUAGAUACCCUGGUAGUCCACGCCGUAAACGAUGUCAACUAGCCGUUGGGAGCCUUGAGCUCUUAGUGGCGCAGCUAACGCAUUAAGUG
rnacentral:rRNA from 1 species